GAUGAAGAACGCAGCGAAAUGCGAUAAGUAAUGUGAAUUGCAGAAUUCAGUGAAUCAUCGAAUCUUUGAACGCACAUUGCGCCCCCUGGUAUUCCGGGGGGCAUGCCUGUUCGAGCGUCAUUUCACCACUCAAGCCUCGCUUGGUAUUGGGCAACGCGGUCCGCCGCGUGCCUCAAAUCGACCGGCUGGGUCUUCUGUCCCCUAAGCGUUGUGGAAACUAUUCGCUAAAGGGUGUUCGGGAGGCUACGCCGUAAAACAACCCCAUUUCUAAGGUUGACCUCGGAUCAGGUAGGGAUACCCGCUGAACUUAAACAUAUCAAUAAGCGGAGGA
rnacentral:misc_RNA from 1 species